UUAAUGGAGAGUUUGAUCCUGGCUCAGGACGAACGCUGGCGGCGUGCCUAAUACAUGCAAGUCGAGCGAGGGUCUUCGGACCCUAGCGGCGGACGGGUGAGUAACACGUAGGCAACCUGCCUGUAAGACUGGGAUAACAUAGGGAAACUUAUGCUAAUACCGGAUAGGGUUUUGCUUCGCCUGAAGCGAAACGGAAAGAUGGCGCAAGCUAUCACUUACAGAUGGGCCUGCGGCGCAUUAGCUAGUUGGUGAGGUAAUGGCUCACCAAGGCGACGAUGCGUAGCCGACCUGAGAGGGUGACCGGCCACACUGGGACUGAGACACGGCCCAGACUCCUACGGGAGGCAGCAGUAGGGAAUUUUCCACAAUGGACGAAAGUCUGAUGGAGCAACGCCGCGUGAACGAUGAAGGCUUUCGGGUCGUAAAGUUCUGUUGUUAGGGAAGAAACAGUGCUAUUUAAAUAAG
rnacentral:rRNA from 1 species